rnacentral:tRNA from 2 species
GGAGGGAUGGCAGAGUGGACGAAUGCGACGGUCUUGAAAACCGUUAUAUGCGCAAGUGUAUCGUGGGUUCGAAUCCCACUCCCUCCGCCG